UUAAAAGUUUUUUUUCUGGCUCAGGAUGAACGCUGGCGGCGUGCGUAAUACAUACAAGUUGAAGCGAACGGACGAGAAACUUGCUUCUCUGAUGUUAGCGGCGGACGGGUGAGUAACACGUGGAUAACCUACCUAUAAGACUGGGAUAACUUCGGGAAACCGGAGCUAAUACCGGAUAAUAUUUUGAACCGCAUGGUUCAAAAGUGAAAGACGGUCUUGCUGUCACUUAUAGAUGGAUCCGCGCUGCAUUAGCUAGUUGGUAAGGUAACGGCUUACCAAGGCAACGAUGCAUAGCCGACCUGAGAGGGUGAUCGGCCACACUGGAACUGAGACACGGUCCAGACUCCUACGGGAGGCAGCAGUAGGGAAUCUUCCGCAAUGGGCGAAAGCCUGACGGAGCAACCCCGCGUGAGUGAUGAAGGUCUUCGGAUCGUAAAACUCUGUUAUUAGGGAAGAACAUAUGUGUAAGUAACUGUGCACAUCUUGACGGUACCUAAUCAGAAAGCCACGGCUAACUACGUGCCAGCAGCCGCGGUAAUACGUAGGUGGCAAGCGUUAUCCGGAAUUAUUGGGCGUAAAGCGCGCGUAGGCGGUUUUUUAAGUCUGAUGUGAAAGCCCACGGCUCAACCGUGGAGGGUCAUUGGAAACUGGAAAACUUGAGUGCAGAAGAGGAAAGUGGAAUUCCAUGUGUAGCGGUGAAAUGCGCAGAGAUAUGGAGGAACACCAGUGGCGAAGGCGACUUUCUGGUCUGUAACUGACGCUGAUGUGCGAAAGCGUGGGGAUCAAACAGGAUUAGAUACCCUGGUAGUCCACGCCGUAAACGAUGAGUGCUAAGUGUUAGGGGGUUUCCGCCCCUUAGUGCUGCAGCUAACGCAUAAGCACGCCUCC
rnacentral:rRNA from 1 species